AGCGGUUGCUAGGUGACGGUCGGGCGCGGGAAGCGGCGUGCGGGCGGCUGAGGCGCGUGCGGGGCCGUCCCGUCCCCGUCCCCUCGGAGCGCUCGCUGGCUGUGUUCUUUAACUGUAUUUUGGAUGGGAUUUUCUUUUUCUUCAUUGCCAUCUAUAGAAAUUGAUGAAUUUUUUUAGGUAAGUUUUUACACUUAAUUUUCAAUAAUUUCUGAAGUUAUCUUUUUAUCAUCUCCAUAUAUAAUACAGUUUCUCUUUUAUCUCAUGUUUAUUUAGAAUUUGUAAUACAAAAACAUGUUUCUUGUAGCUAAGUCUGUGUGAUAUAAGUAAUGUUUAAAAUGGUUAUGAUAAAAACCCCUAUAUAAUUGAUGGUUUCAGUGCUAGAAAUAAUAGUAGAACUGAAACAGUUUUGGAAGCCUCUUUUGGGUUAUGAUUCACGGGAAUACUAAUAAGGGAUUUUUCAGAAGUAAAGCAUUAAAAAAAAUACUGAAAUGGGAUUAAGAGGAUCAAAAGCUAUUUUUGAAAGUAUGUGAAAAAUCUGUAAUAGAGUUUUAAAAAGAUAAUGUAGAUAAAAGGAAGAACAAUUGAAAUCUUAGUUUAGAAAAUGAAAAUAGAUAUGUUUUCAUUAAGAAUUUUUAGACAUGGUUUAUUUUUUGUAUUCCUAGUAUUAAUGUCCAAAACUAAUUUUUCACUGUUCAUUUCUAGACUUCAGUUAUGUGAUACUGCAUAAAUAUUAAAUGGUAUGAAAAAACUGAUGUAUCUAGAAAUUUUGCUUAUGAUUCUGACUUUUUUUCUUUUUUUUUCUCCUGUGGCUCAAAACUUCCUUUCUUAAAGAGAAACUUUACCCCCUGUGGAACUGUUUUCAUUUUAUCCUGUGGUUUCGUUUUUACUUAAGAGUGUCAUUGAGGUUUUACGUAAUUAGGAGUAAUUAAUAAUUCAUUAAUUGAUUUAUACAACCUUUAAUAAGUUUUUAAUAGGUAGAUAGGAUGCCAUAAAACAUUCUGUCUGCAUGUGCCUACUGACUAUGAAGAACAACUAAUGAUAUACAGCAUGUUUGUAAUAUGUAUUGGUAAUCUUGAACUGUUCGAUAGUCGAAUCUUAAUAAAAACUGUAACCAGAA